UGGAGAUCCUGCUCCGUCGCCCCAGUGUUCAGACUACCUGUUCAGGACAAUGCCGUUGUACAGUAGUCUGCACAUUGGUUAGACUGGGCAAGGGAAAGCA
rnacentral:pre_miRNA from 9 species